rnacentral:rRNA from 1 species
GCUCAUGCUACAUACUAGAGUUUGAUCAUGGCUCAGGUGAAGUCCUUGCAAGGUAACCGACUAGCGGCGGACGGGUGAGUAAUGCAUAGGAAUCUGCCCGAUAGUGGGGGAUAACCUGGGGAAACCCAGGCUAAUACCGCAUACGUCCUACGGGAGAAAGGGGGCUUCGGCUCGCGCUAUCGGAUGAGCCUAUGUCGGAUUAGCUAGUUGGUGGGGUAAUGGCCCACCAAGGCGACGAUCCGUAGCUGGUCUGAGAGGAUGAUCAGCCACAUCGGGACUGAGACACGGCCCGAACUCCUACGGGAGGCAGCAGUGGGGAAUAUUGGACAAUGGGGGCAACCCUGAUCCAGCCAUGCCGCGUGUGUGAAGAAGGCCUUCGGGUUGUAAAGCACUUUCAGCGAGGAAGAACGCCAGGGAGUUAAUACCCCCCUGGAAAGACAUCACUCGCAGAAGAAGCACCGGCUAACUCCGUGCCAGCAGCCGCGGUAAUACGGAGGGUGCAAGCGUUAAUCGGAAUUACUGGGCGUAAAGCGCGCGUAGGUGGCUUGAUAAGCCGGUUGUGAAAGCCCCGGGCUCAACCUGGGAACGGCAUCCGGAACUGUCAAGCUA